UUUGCUUAUCUAUUUAGAACACAUUUUUUUCUAUAGUCUAGUUUUAAGAUGCUUUUAGAUGUGUGCCCUGCUGAAAAAACCAGCAUCAAACCAGCAUGGGAAUUAUGCUGGUCUAUGCUGGUUUAGCUGGUGGUCACAGCAUACCAGCACCAAAACACAACAUAUGCUGGUAUGACCACAUGGGAUGCUGGUGCUAAUGCUGGUUUAGCUGGUGCUAAUGGUGGUGCUGGUUUGGUGCUGGUUUAGCUGGUGUUCUCUUGCAAACCAGCACCAAAACACAACAUAUGCUGGUCUUGCUGGUAUGCUGGUUUUUUCAGCAGGGUGUGUAUGUACAUGUUACAUUCAUGACGUGUGAUGUCUUGCACUUAUCUUUUUUGUCAACCCAUCUUAUAAAUAAGGGCUAAUCGGGGAGAGACAGCUUGAGCAUUUCUUUAAGAGGAAUCUAUCUGGUUCUUUCCCUCGCGAGUUUUAAACCUUUAUUCUUGGUCUGAUGUGUCUUAAUUGUUGUUAAGGUAAAUUGAAUAAACCUAACAGUACCCAUUAUUCCAUCUGGAAAAUCCACGACAGUUUGUCUAGACGCGUCUGUAUGCCAGCUGACACAAUGGGAAGUGUGCGAUUUUCUGCAUUGCUCUUUGUACUUUUCUACAGUAUGGUGGCAUUGGUAGCUGAUGAAGUGAUUAAAUUAGACAUAUUUUCUGAAGUUGUGGAUUACAAAAGAUGCCGGGAUGAGAUGCUUCAAAGAGUCAUAAAACCGGGAGGUCUGCUGCAAAGAGAGCUCGACAACAAU